GCACAAGCGGUGAGCAUGUGGUUAAUUCGAUGCAACGCGAAGAACCUUACCUGGUCUUGACAUCCCGGAGACCCUUAGGAAACUAGGGGUGCUUCCAUCUGGAAGAAUCUGGAGACAGGUGCUGCAUGGCUGUCGUCAGCUCGUGUCGUGAGAUGUUGGGUUAAGUCCCGCAACGAGCGCAACCCUUGCCUUUAGUUGCCAGCAGUUCGGCUGGGCACUCUAAAGGGACUGCCGGUGUUAAACCGGAGGAAGGUGGGGAUGACGUCAAGUCCUCAUGGCCUUUAUGACCAGGGCUACACACGUACUACAAUGGCCGAUACAAAGGGCAGCGACACUGCGAGGUGAAGCCAAUCCCGUAAAAUCGGUCUCAGUCCGGAUUGGAGUCUGCAACUCGACUCCAUGAAGUUGGAAUCGCUAGUAAUCGUGGAUCAGCAUGCCACGGUGAAUACGUUCCCGGGCCUU
rnacentral:rRNA from 1 species